AUGCAUCUGAGCGAGAACGAGGGGAUCGAGGGCGUGCGGUUCGCGGUGACUGGCGGGCAGGGCUUCGUCAGCGCUGCGCUAUGCCUGGAGCUGAUCCGCCGCGGCGCCCUGCAGGUCUGCUCCCUCGACGACUCGACCUGCGUGAGUGCUCCUCUUGGUCCCAGCAGCUCCUCGACGUCGGCGUCCGCUUCUUCCAAGGUUCUCUCCCGCACUCUCUUUAGCUUAAAUUACUGUGGUUCUUUUCUUCUGCCGCGCGUGAGACUUAAAUGCAGCGUCUCAGCGAAGAAGGUAAUUUGUUUUUCUGUCCAAUGCGUUGAAGCUACAAUGUACGUGCUUAGAAAAUUGUUUAGGGCGGUGUGA
rnacentral:rRNA from 1 species